rnacentral:rRNA from 1 species
GACGUAGGGCGCGAGCGUUGUCCGGAUUUAUUGGGCGUAAAGAGCUCGUAGGCGGCUUGUCGCGUCGUUCGUGAAAACCUAAGGCUCAACCUUGGGCUUGCAGUGGGUACGGGCAGACUAGAGUGCGGUAGGGGUGACUGGAAUUCCUGGUGUAGCGGUGGAAUGCGCAGAUAUCAGGAGGAACACCGAUGGCGAAGGCAGGUCACUGGGCCGCAACUGACGCUGAGGAGCGAAAGCAUGGGGAGCGAACAGG